UUCGGUGGAGGGGAUAGGAUAAGAAGAACAGUUACAAGACAGACAGUGUACCCCGGUAUUGACAGUGGAAGACGUCUCACUGGCUAGUCUCUACAACAUCACAACAAAUUAAAGCAGGGUGACACAGUCGUAUCGGCCACAGCUCCAUAGUGUAUCUCUCAGUAUAAAGAGGGAGCUGCAGUCUUCGUGUCCACGCCACUCCAUUAACAUCAGAAAACCCGCGGACUCACGCUGGAUGUUUGAUUGUACCUCAAAAUUUUCAAUAUGUUGUUGGGAAAACCCAAGUAGUUCUGCAACAUGUAUCCAAUCACCGAUCUUUCCCUAUGGCAUAUACAUGGUAUUAAAGGGUUGCUUCCUUGUUCGAAAUAUGUCUACUAGAACUACCUAUAUAAAAUUAAGGUCAGUGUUAAAGUUUUAUUUGAAGUUCAAUUUACCAUUUACAAAGUCUGAAAGACCUCCUGGCAUGAAAAGAAUUUUGAAAAUACUUAAAAUUAUUAAUAAAGGAAUUGUACUAAGAGGGGAAUUCCCAUUUCCUUUUAAAAAAAUAUAUGAAUGCAUUCUUUAUUAAU